AUUGAACGCUGGCGGCAUGCCUUACACAUGCAAGUCGAACGGCAGCACGGGAGCAAUCCUGGUGGCGAGUGGCGAACGGGUGAGUAAUAUAUCGGAACGUGCCCAGUCGUGGGGAUAACGUAGCGAAAGCUACGCUAAUACCGCAUACGAUCUAUGGAUGAAAGCGGGGGGAUCGCAAGACCUCGCGCGAUUGGAGCGGCCGAUAUCAGAUUAGGUAGUUGGUGAGGUAAAGGCUCACCAAGCCGACGAUCUGUAGCUGGUCUGAGAGGACGACCAGCCACACUGGGACUGAGACACGGCCCAGACUCCUACGGGAGGCAGCAGUGGGGAAUUUUUGGACAAGUGGGCGCAAGGCCUGAUCCAGCAAUGCCGCGUGCAGGAU
rnacentral:rRNA from 1 species